rnacentral:rRNA from 2 species
UACGUAGGGUGCGAGCGUUGUCCGGAAUUAUUGGGCGUAAAGAGCUCGUAGGCGGUUUGUCGCGUCGGCCGUGAAAACUUGGGGCUUAACUCCAAGCUUGCGGUCGAUACGGGCAGACUUGAGUUCGGCAGGGGAGACUGGAAUUCCUGGUGUAGCGGUGAAAUGCGCAGAUAUCAGGAGGAACACCGGUGGCGAAGGCGGGUCUCUGGGCCGACACUGACGCUGAGGAGCGAAAGCGUGGGGAGCGAACAGG